rnacentral:rRNA from 1 species
AGUGAACGCUGGCGGUAGGCCUAACACAUGCAAGUCGAACGGCAGCACAGUAAGAGCUUGCUCUUACGGGUGGCGAGUGGCGGACGGGUGAGGAAUACAUCGGAAUCUACUUUUUCGUGGGGGAUAACGUAGGGAAACUUACGCUAAUACCGCAUACGACCUACGGGUGAAAGCAGGGGAUCUUCGGACCUUGCGCGAUUGAAUGAGCCGAUGUCGGAUUAGCUAGUUGGCGGGGUAAAGGCCCACCAAGGCGACGAUCCGUAGCUGGUCUGAGAGGAUGAUCAGCCACACUGGAACUGAGACACGGUCCAGACUCCUACGGGAGGCAGCAGUGGGGAAUAUUGGACAAUGGGCGCAAGCCUGAUCCAGCCAUAUCGCGUGGGUGAAGAAGGCCUUCGGGUUGUAAAGCCCUUUUGUUGGGAAAGAAAGGCAGCAGGUUAAUACCCCGCUGUUCUGACGGUACCCAAAGAAUAAGCACCGGCUAACUUCGUG